GUUAAAAUAGGUGGUGACCAUGUUAAAACAGGUGGUGACCAUUUUAAAACAGGUCCAUGUUAAAAUAGGUGGUGACCAUGUUAAAACAGGUGGUGACCAUGUUAAAACAGGUCCAUGUUAAAAUAGGUGGUGACCAUUUUAAAGCAGGUGUUGACCAUGUUAAAACAGGUCCAUGUUAAAAUAGGUGGUGACCAUGUUAAAACAGGUGGUGACCAUUUUAAAACAGGUCCAUGUUAAAACAGGUGGUGACCAUGUUAAAACAGGUCCAUGUUAAAACAGGUGGUGACCAUGUUAAAACAGGUGGUGAC